rnacentral:rRNA from 1 species
CUUCGGGUUAGUGGCGGACGGGUGAGUAACGCGUGAGAAUCUGCCCUCAGGAGGGGGAUAACGGUUGGAAACGACCGCUAAUACCCCAUAUGCCGAGAGGUGAAAUGAAUUUCGCCUGAGGAUGAGCUCGCGUCUGAUUAGCUUGUUGGUAAGGUAAUGGCUUACCAAGGCGACGAUCAGUAGCUGGUCUGAGAGGAUGACCAGCCACACUGGGACUGAGACACGGCCCAGACUCC